GUGACAGCAGCCGCGGUAAUACAGAGAGUGCGAACGUUGUUCGGAAUUACUGGGCUUAAAGCGCACGUAGGCGGCGCCACAAGUGCAGGGUGAAAUCCCACGGCUUACCCGUGGAACUGCCCUGUAGACUGUGGUGCUCGAGGAUGGUAGGGGAGAGCGGAACUCCUGGUGGAGCGGUGAAAUGCGUAGAUAUCAGGAGGAACACCGGUGGCGAAGGCGGCUCUCUGGUCCACUUCUGACGCUGAGGUGCGAAAGCUAGGGGAGCAAACGGGAUUAGAUACCCUUGUAGUCC
rnacentral:rRNA from 1 species